UAUACCAAAACCAGAAGCAUGAGCUUUGGAUUUGUCCAUGACCCCAGCAUGACAUGACAGAAGAAUUUUACAAGAACAUACAGCAACAAUGAUACAGAUGUCGUGAAAAGA